UUUGCAGAGUAAAGCUUAGAGCAGAACAAACAAAUGCAGUGAAGUUCAGAAACAUUGCCUGGUUUUGAUUUCAAGGGCUACAUCAUCUUCUGGCUCUAUGUGUUUGAUUAGGUACUGUAAGCAAGAGUGUGGAAUCAUUAAGAUAAUCAAAAGACUGUUCACAGAAAGAAUGAAAAUGUAGACAUAUUUAUAGUUGAAUAAGUUAUUUGGAUACUGUUUCAAGGCUGACACUAUUCUUUAUAUGAUUUUCCCACUAACUUUUCUAAUACAAAAUUAAAAUACCCAAAUAAUACACCAUAAAAACCUAUUACCCUCCUCACCCCUUCACCCAGGCCUUCUACAUUGACUCUGGAAUAGAAUCAAGCUUUCUUCUAAUCUUGGUAUGAAACACCAAGAUAAUGCCAUCUGGCAUACACUGUCUAAAGUAAGAUUAACUGUGUGAUAGAACAGGCAAUUUUUACUGCACUAUCAUCCACCAUAAUGAGAAGUGACCAAAAAGGGUGCAGCAGUGGCACAGUAAGUGUUCACCUCUGGAACUCAAAGUAUGACUAAAAACCUCGCCAAGCAUUCACACUGACUGGGGCUCCUCGGCUUCCAUUCCUAUUAAUAUGCAUCUGAUCAUGAAAGUGAAGAAUUUGGAGUGGAGUCUGUCAUGCUGGGCCAAUGUGGUGCCUGGGCUGGACAGACUUUGGACUUCUUUGUCACUUCGAUGACACUGUACCAUCUCUUGUCAUGCACAUCCAGGGAAACCAGGUCUACUUUAGAAAACCAGGUGAAAGCUAUGCACAAACAUGUUAUACUAAAUGAUCAUUGGAGGAAGCAUGAUCUUUCUCAUGUUGGUGUACACACCAUAUGGAGAAAAUAAAAAAUUGCAGCUUCAAGACAAUAUGACAGAACAUAUAAGUAAUAAAAUUGACAGUAAUCUCAGGAAACUCAAUUUGAACUCCUAAUUGCAUCUGAACUGCUAUUGUUAGUUAGUUAUUAGGUGAGCAAAAUAUGCAUUUAAGCUUUGAGUGUUUGUUAGCAUUCAAUACAAACAGUGGAUUGGCACACUGAAACACUGUUCAGACCUGAAAUCCUCAUUGGAAAGAAUGCAAAUCUUUCCCUCAGAGAGACAAACUUGAGUCACUCCUGUAGCUAAGCCAUGCCAAAAUGCAAGAUACAGCUUGGAGUCUGUUGAAAUGAGGCCAAGGCUCUGCCAUGUUAUUUUUCAGUCUCAAGAGCCUUCCCAUCAAGUGUCAGCUGAUAAUGAGAAUGGGAAGAGAUCUCUGAAAGAUUAACAUAAUUUACAAUAUUUUAACAGUGAUUUUGAAAUUUUUGUUGUAAAAAUAUCUGUUACUACAUAGACAGCUUGUCUCUGGGUGUUGAUUAAAGCAGAAUAGUGUGCCAAACAGGUUUCUUUUCUGCAAUGGAAGAACCAUUUAAAGCUUUGUGAUCUACACCACUUAAACAAUAUUCCAUGAAUGUAUAAUGGGAUGUGAGGUACAAUAUUCAUGUAUAAAUGAUAUCCUACAUUAAAUUCAAAGCCCACAAAAUAAGGUCUCUGAAAUAUUCUUCCUCUCUGUUAAUGUAGAAGAUGCAGCUAUUUCAUGAGUUACAAAAAUUGCUCUGGAUGGCAACUCCUUGCUAGUCAGUAAUCAGAUGUCAGGUAGAGAUAGGCUUUUCCUGGGUUUCUGCCCAGGUCCUGGUUGUGAAACUGAAUGAGAAUGUAUCAUCCCUAGAUGUGCACUUGUUAUACACCAAUUUAGGCAAGCAAAGACUACUUGUCUGUAUCUGUGAGGAUUACUCUUAUCAACGGAUAAGACUAGAAAAAUGGACUGGAAGUUAAGCUGAGAUCUCUUUUUUUUUUUUUUUUUUUUUUGUCUAUUGUAAAAACCACGAAUGCAGUCCUGAUGUGCUGGGGACAGAAUAGAAAGUAUCAAAUGUGACUUUAGUUUAUGGUAGCAAAUCUCACAUCCAUGGUAUAAAUCUUUUGACAUCCCCUUGUAAAUUUAUUGACACAGGACACAAAAGCAUUACUCUGCUGCAAGCCAAAUGUGUCAGAAGGGGAAUAAUAAAUUCUGUUAUCUGUUUUCAGCUUUGCAAAAUGCUUCCUUGUGGUUGCAAGUGAACAAUUUCCCCAGGCCCCAGCUUUCCUCUCAUAAUGUUCUUAUUUGCUGAUGGGGUACAAACUUUCUUGUUGACAGCUCCACAUGGACCACUCAGAAUCAACAAGAUGUGAAGAGGGCAAACAGACAAGAGUUUUAGAGCGCUUCAGAAAGACAGGUAGCUCUAGCCCUACUCAGAAGCCUGUGUUAAAAUGUUUCUUCACUGCGCAGCUCUGCUCUGAGAAGUGAAACACUGUGGCCUUCCCAGGUCUUGCGCUCAGCACGCAAUUAGGUUUUUGCAUGUGUGUAUGCCUUGGAGCAGCAUCCCAGUGACAGCUGUAUCCUCACAGAGAGUACAUUUUGUAUCACUCGGCUUGACUGGAAAUCCUGUGCAGUAUCUACUGUCCUCAGAUUAGUUCCAGCUGUCAUUGGCUUUCAUUCUUACCCUGAUGACAACUGCAGACUGAAUGUCCAGACCUGCCCCAUGUCUGAGCACAAACAAAUGCCCUCAGAGUGAAGCAUCAUAAAAGGAUCGGUCCAAGCACUGGAACCUGGUGGCACCAGGGAAAGAAACAGAAAUAAAACCAAUCAAGAUUUCUCUACUGGAAAGAACAAACCUGAAUAA